rnacentral:rRNA from 1 species
AUUGAACGCUGGCGGCAGGCUUAACACAUGCAAGUCGAGCGGGCGAGGUUGCUUCGGUAAUUGAGCUAGCGGCGGACGGGUGAGUAAAGCUUAGGAAUCUGCCUAUUAGUGGGGGACAACAUUUCGAAAGGGAUGCUAAUACCGCAUACGUCCUACGGGAGAAAGCAGGGGAUCACUUGUGACCUUGCGCUAAUAGAUGAGCCUAAGUCGGAUUAGCUAGUUGGUGGGGUAAAGGCCUACCAAGGCGACGAUCUGUAGCGGGUCUGAGAGGAUGAUCCGCCACACUGGGACUGAGACACGGCCCAGACUCCUACGGGAGGCAGCAGUGGGGAAUAUUGGACAAUGGGGGGAACCCUGAUCCAGCCAUGCCGCGUGUGUGAAGAAGGCCUUUUGGUUGUAAAGCACUUUAAGUGGGGAGGAGGCUCUCUUGGUUAAUACCUAAGAAGAGUGGACGUUACCCACAGAAUAAGCACCGGCUAACUCUGUGCCAGCCGCCGCAGUAAGAC